AGAUGGCUCUCAAGCACCUCCUGAAGGCCAUUGUCCUUUCUUGCUCCAGUGCUACUAUAUCGGGGCCACAGAUGAUGCAGCCACCAAAAUCAUCAAUGAGGUAUCAAAGCCUCUGGCCCACCACAUCCCUGUGGAGAAGAUCUGUGAGAAGCUUAAGAAGAAGGACAGCCAGAUAUGUGAGCUAAAGUAUGACAAGCAGAUCGACCUGAGCACAGUGGACCUGAAGAAGCUCCGAGUUAAAGAGCUGAAGAAGAUUCUGGAUGACUGGGGGGAGACAUGCAAAGGCUGUGCAGAAAAGUCUGACUACAUCCGGAAGAUAAAUGAACUGAUGCCUAAAUAUGCCCCCAAGGCAGCCAGUGCACGGACCGAUUUGUAGUCUGCUCAAUCUCUGUUGCACCUGAGGGGGAAAAAACAGUUCAACUGCUUACUCCCAAAA
rnacentral:sRNA from 1 species